rnacentral:rRNA from 1 species
UACGUAGGGCGCAAGCGUUGUCCGGAAUUAUUGGGCGUAAAGAGCUCGUAGGCGGCUUGUCACGUCGGGUGUGAAAGCCCGGGGCUUAACCCCGGGUCUGCAUUCGAUACGGGCUGGCUAGAGUGUGGUAGGGGAGAUCGGAAUUCCUGGUGUAGCGGUGAAAUGCGCAGAUAUCGGGAGGAACACCGGUGGCGAAGGCGGCGACCUGGGUCGAUACUGACGCUGAGGUGCGAAAGCGUGGGGAGCAAACAGG